CGGUAAUACGUAGGGUGCGAGCGUUAAUCGGAAUUACUGGGCGUAAAGCGUGCGCAGGCGGUUUUGUAAGACAGGCGUGAAAUCCCCGGGCUCAACCUGGGAAUUGCGCUUGUGACUGCAAGGCUAGAGUACGUCAGAGGGGGGUAGAAUUCCACGUGUAGCAGUGAAAUGCGUAGAGAUGUGGAGGAAUACCGAUGGCGAAGGCAGCCCCCUGGGACGUGACUGACGCUCAUGCACGAAAGCGUGGGGAGCAAACAGGAUUA
rnacentral:rRNA from 1 species